UGGACUUUUUGGGGGAAUUCUGACUUGAAGAUGGAGGAACUCUUUGUGGCCAUACUCUCAAUGCUUCUCGUUUUGGCGCUUAUUCCGCUGUUUGUAUGGAAGCGGCGAAAGGAUUCUUCAUCAACCGAUACGCACGAAGAAGGACAAGAUCAGUUCGCUCUAUUGCUGGUGGUGACCGCUUUGUGAGUUACGGGAGAGCCGGAUCCAGUGGAGUUGCAGCAGGUGGUAUCUUGCGAAUAGAGAGUUGUUGCGGUUCCUCAAGCUUAGGCCCAGAAAGUUCUAAGUGAAGGUAAGGAUGAAUUUGAUGAC